rnacentral:rRNA from 1 species
UACGUAGGGCGCAAGCGUUAUCCGGAAUUAUUGGGCGUAAAGAGCUCGUAGGCGGUCUGUCGCGUCGGCUGUGAAAACUCGGGGCUCAACCCCGAGCCUGCAGUCGAUACGGGCAGACUAGAGUGCGGUAGGGGAGACUGGAAUUCCUGGUGUAGCGGUGAAAUGCGCAGAUAUCAGGAGGAACACCGAUGGCGAAGGCAGGUCUCUGGGACGGUACUGACGCUGAGACGCGAAAGCGUGGGGAGCGAACAGG